rnacentral:rRNA from 1 species
GCAUGUACGCGAGUCAUUGGGACUAGCGAAACCUAAAGGCGAAAUGAAAGUGAAAGUCGGCCUCGCGCCGACCUAGGGAGGAUGGGUCGCGUUACGGCGCGACCCCGCACUCCCGGGGCGUCUCGUUCUCAUUGCGAGAAGAGGCGCACCAAGAGCGUACACGCUGGGACCCGAAAGAUGGUGAACUAUGCCUGGUCAGGACGAAGUCAGGGGAAACCCUGAUGGAGGUCCGAAGCGAUUCUGACGUGCAAAUCGAUCGUCGGAACUGGGUAUAGGGGCGAAAGACUAAUCGAACCAUCUAGUAGCUGGUUCCCUCCGAAGUUUCCCUCAGGAUAGCUGGCGCUCGCUUUUGCGAGUCUCAUCUGGUAAAGCGAAUGAUUAGAGGCAUUGGGGUCGAAACGGCCUCACGGCUUGCUUAAAACGUGAAGCCGCGAGAUCGGAUCAGAGUGCCAAGUGGGCCAUUUUUGGUAAGCAGAACUGGCGCUGUGGGAUGAACCAAACGCAGAGUUAAAGCUCCAAAAUCAACGCUUAUGGGAUACCAUGAAAGGCGUUGGUAACUUAAGACAGCAGGACGG